rnacentral:rRNA from 1 species
UACGUAGGUGGCGAGCGUUGUCCGGAUUUAUUGGGUUUAAAGGGUGCGUAGGCGGCCCUGUAAGUCAGUGCUGAAAUAUCCCAGCUUAACUGGGAGGGUGGCAUUGAUACUGCGGGGCUAGAGUACAGAUGAGGUAGGCGGAAUUGACGGUGUAGCGGUGAAAUGCUUAGAUAUCGUCAAGAACACCAAUUGCGAAGGCAGCUCGCUGGGACGUUACUGACGCUGAGACGCGAAAGCGUGGGGAGCAAACAGG